GUGUGUGUAUAUAAUGCAGUGUGUUUGUGUAGUGUGCAUUAUAUAAACACACUACAAACAAACACACUGCAUUAUAUAAACACAGUAC